rnacentral:rRNA from 1 species
UACGGAGGGUGCAAGCGUUGUCCGGAAUCACUGGGCGUAAAGGGCGCGUAGGCGGCCAGUUGCGUCUGCUGUGAAAUCCCGGGGCUCAACCCCGGGCGUGCAGUGGAUACGGGCUGGCUAGAGGCAGGCAGGGGAGAACGGAAUUCCCGGUGUAGCGGUGAAAUGCGCAGAUAUCGGGAGGAACACCGGUGGCGAAGGCGGUUCUCUGGGCCUGUACUGACGCUGAGGAGCGAAAGCGUGGGGAGCGAACAGG